AACGAACGCUGGCGGCGUGCCUUACACAUGCAAGUCGUACGCGAAAGGGGGCAACCCCCGGUAGCGUGGCAGACGGGUGAGUAGCACGUGGGUAACCUGCCCGGAGGUGGGGGAUAACCCUUCGAAAGGAGGGCUAAUACCGCAUCACGCCGCGGGGUCUCCGGACCCUGCGACCAAAGCUGGCCUCUACUUGUAAGCUAGCGCCACCGGAGGGGCCCGCGCCCCAUUAGCUAGUUGGUGAGGUAACGGCUCACCAAGGCGACGAUGGGUAGCCGGCCUGAGAGGGCGACCGGCCACACUGGAACUGAGACACGGUCCAGACUCCUACGGGAGGCAGCAGUGAGGAAUCUUGCGCAAUGGGCGAAAGCCUGACGCAGCGACGCCGCGUGGAGGAUGAAGGUCUUCGGAUCGUAAACUCUGUCGAGCGGGACGAAUGCCGGAGGGGUGAAUAAUCUCUUCGGUUGACGGUACCG
rnacentral:rRNA from 1 species